GUUUGAUCCUGGCUCAGGACGAACGCUGGCGGCGUGCUCAACACAUGCAAGUCGAACGGAGAACUUAUUUCGGUAAGUUCUUAGUGGCGAACGGGUGAGUAACGCGUGGGCAACCUGCCCUCCAGUUGGGGACAACAUUCCGAAAGGGAUGCUAAUACCGAAUGUGCUCCCUCCUCCGCAUGGAGGAGGGAGGAAAGAUGGCCUCUGCUUGCAAGCUAUCGCUGGAAGAUGGGCCCGCGUCUGAUUAGCUAGUUGGUGGGGUAACGGCUCACCAAGGCGAUGAUCAGUAGCCGGUCUGAGAGGAUGAACGGCCACAUUGGGACUGAGACACGGCCCAAACUCCUACGGGAGGCAGCAGUGGGGAAUCUUCCGCAAUGGACGAAAGUCUGACGGAGCAACGCCGCGUGAGUGAUGAAGGUCUUCGGAUUGUAAAACUCUGUUGUUAGGGACGAAAGCACCGUGUUCGAACAGGUCAUGGUGUUGACGGUACCUAACGAGGAAGCCACGGCUAACUACGUGCCAGCAGCCGCGGUAAUACGUAGGUGGCAAGCGUUGUCCGGAAUUAUUGGGCGUAAAGAGCAUGUAGGCGGGCUUUUAAGUCUGACGUGAAAAUGCGGGGCUUAACCCCGUAUGGCGUUGGAUACUGGAAGUCUGAG
rnacentral:rRNA from 1 species